CCCUGGUAGUCCAUGCCGUAAACGUUGGGCACUAGGUGUGGGGGACAUUCCACGUUCUCCGCGCCGUAGCUAACGCAUUAAGUGCCCCGCCUGGGGAGUACGGCCGCAAGGAUAAAACUCAAAGGAAUUGACGGGGGCCCGCACAAGCGGCGGAGCAUGCGGAUUAAUUCGAUGCAACGCGAAGAACCUUACCAAGGCCUGACAUUCACCGGACCGCACUGGAGACAGUGUUUCCCUUCGGGGUCGGUGGACAGGUGGUGCAUGGUUGUCGUCAGCUCGUGUCGUGAGAUGUUGGGUUAAGUCCCGCAACGAGCGCAACCCUCGUUGUAUGUUGCCAGCACGUGAUGGUGGGGACUCAUAGGAGACUGCCGGGGUCAACUCGGAGGAAGGUGGGGAUGACGUCAAAUCAUCAUGCCCCUUAUGUCUUGGGCUUCACGCAUGCUACAAUGGCCGGUACAAAGGGUUGCGAUACUGUGAGGUGGAGCUAAUCCCAAAAAGCCGGUCUCAGUUCGGAUUGAGGUCUGCAACUCGACCUCAUGAAGUCGGAGUCGCUAGUAAUCGCAGAUCAGCAACGCUGCGGUGAAUACGUUCCCGGGCCUUGUACACGCCGCCNGU
rnacentral:rRNA from 1 species